rnacentral:rRNA from 1 species
GGUUAAGCGACUAAGCGUACACGGUGGAUGCCCUGGCAGUCAGAGGCGAUGAAGGACGUGCUAAUCUGCGAUAAGCGUCGGUGAGGUGAUAUGAACCGUUAUAACCGGCGAUUUCCGAAUGGGGAAACCCAGUGUGUUUCGACACACUAUCAUUAACUGAAUCCAUAGGUUAAUGAGGCGAACCGGGGGAACUGAAACAUCUAAGUACCCCGAGGAAAAGAAAUCAACCGAGAUUCCCCCAGUAGCGGCGAGCGAACGGGGAGGAGCCCAGAGCCUGAAUCAGUGUGUGUGUUAGUGGAAGCGUCUGGAAAGGCGUGCGAUACAGGGUGACAGCCCCGUACACAAAAAUGCACAUACUGUGAGCUCGAUGAGUAGGGCGGGACACGUGGUAUCCUGUCUGAAUAUGGGGGGACCAUCCUCCAAGGCUAAAUACUCCUGACUGACCGAUAGUGAACCAGUACCGUGAGGGAAAGGCGAAAAGAACCCCGGCGAGGGGAGUGAAAAAGAACCUGAAACCGUGUACGUACAAGCAGUGGGAGCCUCUUAAUGGGGUGACUGCGUACCUUUUGUAUAAUGGGUCAGCGACUUAUAUUCUGUAGCAAGGUUAACCGAAUAGGGGAGCCGAAGGGAAACCGAGUCUUAACUGGGCGUUAAGUUGCAGGGUAUAGACCCGAAACCCGGUGAUCUAGCCAUGGGCAGGUUGAAGGUUGGGUAACACUAACUGGAGGACCGAACCGACUAAUGUUGAAAAAUUAGCGGAUGACUUGUGGCUGGGGGUGAAAGGCCAAUCAAACCGGGAGAUAGCUGGUUCUCCC